GACAGAGGUGCCAAGCGUUAGGCGGAAUCACUGGGCUUAAAGCGUGUGUAGGUGGAAGCGUAAGUACCUUGUGAAAUCCCACGGCUUAACCGUGGAACUGCUUGGUAUACUGCGUUUCUUGAGCCAACUAGGGGCUAUCGGAACAAGUGGUGGAGCGGUGAAAUGCGUAGAUAUCGGAAGGAACAUCAGUGGCGAAGGCGACUUCCUGGACAGAUACUGACACUGAGGCACGAAAGCGUGGGGAGCAAACAGG
rnacentral:rRNA from 1 species